GCCGGGUGUGGUGUUGGGUGCCUGUAAUCCCAGCUACUCGGGAGGCUGAGGCAGGAGAAUUGCUUGAACCUGGGAGGCAGAGGUUGCAGUGAGGCAAGAUUGUGCCACUGUACUCCAGCCUGGAGACAGAGCGAGACUCUGUCUCAAAAAAAAAAAAAAAAAAAUGCAUCUUGUUUGUUUGUUUUGAGACGGAGUCUCACUCUGUCACCUAGGCUGGAGAGUGGUGGUGCCAUCACGGCUAACUGCAACCUCUGCCUCCCAGGUUCAAGUAAUUCUCCUGCCCCA
rnacentral:sRNA from 1 species